UGCAUUCACUACUGUAAGUUGCUCUGGAUAAGAGUGCUUGCUAAAUGACAAAAA
rfam:Salmo salar isolate Sally breed double haploid chromosome ssa09, whole genome shotgun sequence.